rnacentral:tRNA from 1 species
UUUUAUCUGCCGGGUUCGAGUCCCGGGCAACCCA